rnacentral:rRNA from 1 species
GAUGAACGCUGGCGGCGUGCCUAAUACAUGCAAGUCGAGCGAACAGACGAGGAGCUUGCUCCUCUGACGUUAGCGGCGGACGGGUGAGUAACACGUGGAUAACCUACCUAUAAGACUGGGAUAACUUCGGGAAACCGGAGCUAAUACCGGAUAAUAUAUUGAACCGCAUGGUUCAAUAGUGAAAGACGGUUUUGCUGUCACUUAUAGAUGGAUCCGCGCCGCAUUAGCUAGUUGGUAGGGUAACGGCUUACCAAGGCAACGAUGCGUAGCCGACCUGAGAGGGUGAUCCGCCAGACUGGAACUGAGACACGUUCCAGACUCCUACGGGGGGCCGCAGUAGGGAAUCUUCCGCAAUGGGGGAAAGCCUGACGGAGCAACGCCGCGGGAGUGAUGAAGGUCUUCGGAUCGUAAAACUCUGUUAUUAGGAGAGAACAAAUGUGUAAGUAACCAUGCACGUCUUGACGGUACCUAAACAGAAAGCCACGGCUAACUACGUG